rnacentral:tmRNA from 1 species
GGGAGCGUAAUGGUUUCGACAGGGAGUAUGAGCUUCGGCAAGCGAGCAGCGGCACUGCAGAACCGCUAUAAAAUCCGCAGAAUUAAAAACAAACGACAACCGUAACGAAGUUGCCCUCGCUGCGUAAGCAGUGAGCGUUCCUCAUAGAAGUACCACGGUCUGUGAGGGGCGUCGAUUAGUGGUGAACGUGAACGGAAGAGUGUCUUGGCUUCCGGCAUGAACAAAAGACUACCGAAGCACCGGGUUUGUUAUCGAACCUUGUGUCGGGGGAAUCUUUAAUCGGUAACUGCGCUCGGAGAAAACCGUUGUAAGUGCUUUUUGGACAGGGGUUCGAUUCCCCUCGCUUCCACCA